rnacentral:ncRNA from 1 species
UGACGUUGCGCAAGCUUCGCACCCGUUUUUUUAGGAAGAAUCACAUGUCCCUUACCGCAGAACAGACCGGCAAGAUCAUCGCUGACUUCGGCCGCGUGCCGAA